GGGCACACUUGAUAUGAUCCCACAAACCAUGCUGUGCUCCAUCAAGAAAGUCCCAGCCAGAGCUGGAGGACCUGGCCUGUGAGAGAGUGGGGAGGCAGUUUGGGGGUGCAGCUGCUGCCAGGCUGUCUGUGAGGUUGGUUCCAAGGCAAGAGGGGAGGCCGGUUGGGUUCAGCCAACACAAGUUGGAGCUGCAAUCCUGGAAGCCAGUGAGCACAGGCCUGGAGUACAAGGCUGCGCCCACCACAGCCUGCGCUGACCUCCAGGCACCCUCCUGCAGGACCCUAGGCACCAGCGGCUCGAGUGAGGAUGGUGGAGCCCAAAAGCUACCCCAGAGUUCUCUCUCUAUUACCUUUUAUGAACAAGUCCACCUGUGGCAAAUUGGAAACGAGACCCCAAAGAGCUCGGCCUGUCGGACAGCUAGAAGAGUGAGGCGUAAAGGCCUUGUCCCCCUUCCCUGCCGCCCGAACCCCAGGGCCUUUGCCCUUGGGACUAACAGGAAGAGAAACCACACGCACUUGUUUGGCUGAGCCUGCUGGUGAUCAUAACCCAAAGGUCUCUCAGCGGACAGACAUCAGACAAGCCACAGGCAUCCCAGCAAGGAGGACGGUGACUAAGACAUCUGGCUUCCUGAUCAGACUGUGCGGAGGAUUCCUACCACGGUUCUGCACAAAAAUAAGAAUACAAGAUCAUGUCUUCCACAGCACUCUGUCCUUUUCCACUCCCUAGUGCAGGGCCUGGAAGCCAGGGCUCAGGCAAGCUAGCUGUGCCUCAGCCCCAGGAAACCCUCACCGCCUGCAUGCCUUCCUCUCUCACCCAACCUUGUCCUGUAACACCUGGGUAAUCACAGCACAAUUACUGAGUUUUCUAAAUCCAGUAAGAAACAGUGCAACCAACAUGUGGAAUUAAACAUCACGGUUAGCAAGACAGGAAAAUGAACAAAACUAAUUAAAUGGUAAACAUUCCA